UCCUACGUAUACCAUUCCAUGUACGCAUACUUCGACAGAGACAACGUUGCUCUUAAGGGACUAGCCAAAUUUUUCAAAGAAUCAAGUGAGGAAGAGAGAGGGCAUGCUGAGAAGUUUAUGGAGUACCAGAACCAAAGAGGAGGAAGAGUGA